rnacentral:rRNA from 1 species
AUUGAACGCUGGCGGAAUGCUUUACACAUGCAAGUCGAGCGGCAGCGCGGGGGCGAACCCUGGCGGCGAGCGGCGAACGGGUGAGUAAUACAUCGGAACGUGUCCUUAAGUGGGGAGUAGCUCGGCGAAAGCCGGAUUAAUACCGCAUAAGCUCUGAGGAGGAAAGCGGGGGAUUCGCAAGGACCUCGCGCUGUUGGAGCGGCCGAUGUCGGAUUAGCUAGUUGGUGGGGUAAAGGCCCACCAAGGCGACGAUCCGUAGCUGGUCUGAGAGGAUGAUCAGCCACACUGGAACUGAGACACGGUCCAGACUCCUACGGGAGGCAGCAGUGGGGAAUUUUGGACAAUGGGGGCAACCCUGAUCCAGCCAUUCCGCGUGAGUGAAGAAGGCCUUCGGUUGUAAGACUC